rnacentral:rRNA from 1 species
GUUGUAGACCCGAAACCGAGUGACCUAUCCAUGGUCAGGUUGAAGGUGGGGUAAUACCUACUGGAGGACCGAACAAGUGGGUGUUAAAAAACCCUUUGAUGAACUGUGGAUAGCGGUGAAAUUCCAAUCGAACUCGGAGAUAGCUGGUUCUAUCCGAAAUACAUUUAGGUGUAGCCUUGCAAUUAGCUUACUGGAGGUAGAGCACUAUUUGGUCUAGGGGCCCUUCAAGGGUUACCAAAAUCAGAUAAACUCCGAAUGCCAGCUAAGUAUGUGCAGGAGUCAGACGGUGAGUGAUAAGAUCCAUCGUCAAAAGGGGAACAGCCCAGAUCACCAGUUAAGGUCCCUAAAUAUAUGCUAAGUGGAAAACGUUGUGAAGGUGCAUAGACAACUAGGAGGUUGGCUCAGAAGCAGCCACCCUUUAAAGAGUGCGUAAUAGCUCACUAGUCGAGUGCUCUUGCGCGGAUAAUGUACCGGGGCUAAGCAUAUUACCGAAACUGUGGAUGCGUAAGCAUGGUAGGAUAGCGUAAUUAACGCGAUGAAGGAUGACCGUAAGGACAUGUUGGAGCGUUAACUAGUGAGAAUUCCGGUAUGAGUAGCGAAAGAUAGGUGAGAAUCCUAUCCACCGAAUGAGUAAGGUUUCCCCCGGAAGGCUCGUCCGCGGGGGGUUAGUCGGGACCUAAGGCGAGGCUGAAAAGCGUAGUCGAUGGACAACAGGUUGAUAUUCCUGUACCGAUAUUUAAUUGCCGAAGGAAGGACGCAGAAGGAUAACACAGGCCACUAUUGGAUGUGGUUUUAAACAGUUAGUCUUCAUAAGAGUCAAAUGCUUUUAUGUUUAAGGAUAAGCUGUGAAUGUACCAAGUUUACUUGGAAAUUGUGUGAUUUCACGCUGCUGAAAAAAGUUUCGUAGGAAGAAAAUAUUGCCCGUACCGCAAACCGACACAGGUACUCAAGUGGAGAACACUAAGGUGAGCGAGUGAACUAUUGUUAAGGAACUCUGCAAAAUGAGUCCGUAACUUCGGAAGAAGGACUGCUGGUUUUAUACCAGCCGCAGCAAAUAGGCCCAAACAACUGUUUAUCAAAAACACAGGUUUCUGCAAAAUCGUAAGAUGAAGUAUAGGGGCUGACGCCUGCCCAGUGCUGGAAGGUUAAAAGGAGGACUUAGCUUCGGCGAAGGUCUUAAUUGAAGCCCCAGUGAACGGCGGCCGUAACUAUAACGGUCCUAAGGUAGCGAAAUUCCUUGUCGGGUAAGUUCCGACCCGCAUGAAAGGCGUAAUGAUUUGGGCGCUGUCUCAACAAUAGACUCGGUGAAAUUUAAAUUCCAGUGAAGAUGCUGGGUACCCGCGACAGGACGGAAAGACCCCGUGGAGCUUUACUGUAGCUUGAUAUUGAAUGUUUGUGCUGCAUGUGCAGGAUAGGUAGGAGACUUUGAAGUCGGAACGCUAGUUUCGAUUGAGUCACCCUUGAGAUACUACCUCUGUUGUAUGAACGUUCUAACUCUGAUCAGUUAUCCUGAUCGAAGACAGUGUCUGGCAGGCAGUUUGACUGGGGCGGUCGCCUCCUAAAAGAUAACGGAGGCGCUCAAAGGUUUGCUCAGAAUGGUUGGAAAUCAUUCGUAGCGUGUAAAGGCAUAAGCAAGCUUGACUGUGAGACUGACAAGUCGAGCAGGUACGAAAGUAGGACUUAGUGAUCCGGUGGUUCCGUAUGGAAGGGCCAUCGCUCAACGGACAAAAGCUACCCCGGGGAUAACAGGCUCAUCUCCCCCAAGAGUCCACAUCGACGGGGAGGUUUGGCACCUCGAUGUCGGCUCAUCGCAUCCUGGGGCUGUAGUCGGUCCCAAGGGUUGGGCUGUUCGCCCAUUAAAGCGGUACGCGAGCUGGGUUCAGAACGUCGUGAGACAGUUCGGUCCCUAUCCGUCGUGGGCGCAGGAAAUUUGAGAGGAUCUGUCCUUAGUACGAGAGGACCGGGAUGGACAUACCUCUGGUGUACCAGUUGUUCUGCCAAGAGCACCGCUGGGUAGCUACGUAUGGAUUAGAUAAUCGCUGAAAGCAUCUAAGUGAGAAACUAACCUCGAGAUGAGAUUUCCCAUUCGUCAGAAGUAAGACCCCUGAGAGACGAUCAGGUAGAUAGGCUAGAAGUGGAAGUGUAGUGAUGCAUGGAGCGGACUAGUACUAAUAGGUCGAGGACUUAACCAAG